rfam:Felis catus isolate Cinnamon breed Abyssinian chromosome E1, whole genome shotgun sequence.
GCCUGGGUGGCUCAGUCGGUUGAGCGUCCGACUUCGGCUCAGGUCAUGAUCUCGCGGUCCGUGGGUUCGAGCCCCGCGUCGGGCU